GACGUAGGGACCAAGCGUUGUCCGGAAUCAUUGGGCGUAAAGAGCGUGUAGGCGGCUUGUUAAGUCUUGCGUGAAAUCUCGGGGCUCAACCCCGAGCGGUCGUGAGAAACUGGCAGGCUAGAGUGCGGGAGAGGAGAGUGGAAUUCCUGGUGUAGCGGUGAAAUGCGCAGAUAUCAGGAAGAACACCCGUGGCGAAGGGCGGCUCUCUGGAACGCAACUGACGCUGAGACGCGAAAGCGUGGGGAGCAAACAGG
rnacentral:rRNA from 1 species